rnacentral:misc_RNA from 1 species
UGAAGAUUGGAGAAUUUAUAAACAGUUUGGUCCAUAAUUAAUGCCAGUUCCAUUUUCUCAUAAACCAACAACAUAUCUGCCGGAAUGGCAGAAAAAUGUGGGUUCACCAACGCAAAUGUAAAGGCAUUUAGCUGAGCAAUAAAAAUAUCUUCAAUAUACUUUUCUUCUAAUUCGCAUAAAUUGUCUUUAUAACAAGGGAAAAG